rnacentral:rRNA from 1 species
GUUGUAUAGUCAAGUAAUUAAGUGCAUGUGGUGGAUGCCUUGGCAGUCAGAGGCGAUGAAAGACGUGAUAGCCUGCGAAAAGCUCCGGGGAGGCGGCAAAUAUCCUUUGAUCCGGAGAUGUCUGAAUGGGGGAACCCACCUACUUUAAGGUAGGUAUUGCAACAUGAAUACAUAGUGUUGCAAGGCGAACGAGGGGAAGUGAAACAUCUCAGUACCCUUAGGAAAAGAAAUCAAUUGAGAUUCCCUCAGUAGCGGCGAGCGAACGGGGAUCAGCCC